rnacentral:rRNA from 1 species
UACAGAGGUCUCAAGCGUUGUUCGGAUUCAUUGGGCGUAAAGGGUGCGUAGGCGGCGCGGUAAGUCGGGUGUGAAAUCUCGGAGCUUAACUCCGAAACUGCAUUCGAUACUGCCGUGCUUGAGGACUGGAGAGGAGACUGGAAUUUACGGUGUAGCGGUGAAAUGCGUAGAUAUCGUAAGGAAGACCAGUGGCGAAGGCGGGUCUCUGGACAGUUCCUGACGCUGAGGCACGAAAGCUAGGGGAGCAAACAGG